rnacentral:rRNA from 1 species
GAUGAACGCUAGCGGAAGGCUUAAUACAUGCAAGUCGAGCGGUAGGUGGCUUCGGCCAUUGAGAGCGGCGCACGGGUGAGUAACGCGUACAUGACCUGCCUGUCAGAAGGGGAUAGCCCUGGGAAACUGGGAUUAAUACCCUAUGGUAUUGAUAUUAUGAAUGAUAUCAAUUAAAGUUGAGGCGCUGACAGAUGGAUGUGCGUCUGAUUAGCUAGUUGGUAGGGUAACGGCCUACCAAGGCGACGAUCAGUAGGGGGCUGAGAGCGUGGUCCCCCACACGGGUACUGAGACACGGACCCGACUCCUACGGGAGGCAGCAGUAAGGAAUAUUGGUCAAUGCCCGCAAGGGUGAACCAGCCAUUCCGCGUGGAGGAUGAA